CGGCAGCACGGGUGCUUGCACCUGGUGGCGAGUGGCGAACGGGUGAGUAAUACAUCGGAACGUACCUUAUCGUGGGGGAUAACGCAGCGAAAGUUGCGCUAAUACCGCAUACGCCCUGAGGGGGAAAGCGGGGGACCGUAAGGCCUCGCGCGAUUAGAGCGGCCGAUGUCUGAUUAGCUUGUUGGUGAGGUAAAAGCUCACCAAGGCGAUGAUCAGUAGCUGGUCUGAGAGGACGAUCAGCCACACUGGGACUGAGACACGGCCCAGACUCCUACGGGAGGCAGCAGUGGGGAAUUUUGGACAAUGGGGGCAACCCUGAUCCAGCAAUGCCGCGUGAGUGAAGAAGGCCUUCGGGUUGUAAAGCUCUUUUGUCAGGGAAGAAACAGCAGCUCUAACACAGACUGCGAAUGACGGUACCUGAAGAAUAAGCACCGGCUAACUACGUGCCAGCAGCCGCGGUAAUGCGUAGGGUGCGAGCGUUAAUCGGAAUUACU
rnacentral:rRNA from 1 species